UUCCCUGUGGCUCAGUUGGUAGAGCAUGGUGUGUGCAACGCCAGGGUUGUGGGUUUGAUUCCCACGGGGGACA
rnacentral:tRNA from 1 species